rnacentral:rRNA from 1 species
CACCGGCUAACUCCGUCGCCAGCAGCCGCGGUAAUACGGAGGGUGCGAGCGUUAAUCGGAAUUACUGGGCGUAAAGACGCAUGCAGGUGGUUUGUUUAAGUUCAGAUGUGAAAGACCCGGGGCGUCAACCUCGGAAUAGCAUUUGAAACUAGGCAGACUAGAGUACUGUAGAGGGGGGUAGGAAGUUUCAGGUGUAGCGGUGAAAUAGCGUAGAGAUCUGAAGGAAUACCGGUGGCGAAGGCGGCCCCCUCGGACAGAUACUGACACUCAGAUGCGAAAGCGUGGGGAGCAAACAGGAUUAGAUACCCCUGGUAG